GUCCUCUUGUUUGUAUAUGAGGUCUGACCUGCCCGGUGAAAAUUAAUUUUAACGGCCGCAGUAUUUUGACUGUGCAAAGGUAGCAUAAUCAUUAGUCUUUUAAUAGGGGGCUGGUAUGAAGGGUUUGACGAGGUGUUAACUGUCUCAUUUAAUUUGAAUUUAGAAUUUAACUUUUCAGUCAAAAGGCUGAAAUUAUAUUGGAAGACGAGAAGACCCUAUAGAGCUUUAUAAUUAAAUUUUUAAUUAUUUUUUGUUUAUCAUUUUUUAUUAUUGCUUUAAUUAUUUUGUUGGGGUGACAAAAACAUAUGAUUAACUUUUUUAUUUAUUUAACAUUGAUUUAUGAAUAUUAGAUCCAUUAUUAUUGAUUAUUAGAUUAAGUUACCUUAGGGAUAACAGCGUAAUCUUCCUUCAGAGUUCAUAUUUACGGGAAGGCUUGCGACCUCGAUGUUGGAUUAAGAUAAUAGUUAGGUGUAGCCGCUUAAUACAUAGGUCUGUUCGACCUUUAAAUUCUU
rnacentral:rRNA from 1 species